CUACAGAGGGUGCGAGCGUUAAUCGGAAUUACUGGGCGUAAAGCGCGCGUAGGCGGCUUGGUCAGUCGGAUGUGAAAGCCCUGGGCUCAACCUGGGAAUUGCAUUCGAUACUGCCAAGCUAGAGUAUGGGAGAGGGAAGUGGAAUUUCCGGUGUAGCGGUGAAAUGCGUAGAUAUCGGAAAGAACACCAGUGGCGAAGGCGACUUCCUGGCCCAAUACUGACGCUGAGGUGCGAAAGCGUGGGGAGCGAACAGGAUUAGAAACCCUAGUAGUCC
rnacentral:rRNA from 1 species